UCAAUAAUAAAUUCUGCUAAAGAAACUCAAGUCAUCGUGCAUUAUUUUUUUGCUUUUGAAAAAGAUCCAGUAAUGCUCAUCAAUAAAUUAUUAUUCUUAUCCAAUACAAAUGCAUAUAUAUGGCCGGAACAUAAAAAUGUGAGGUUCAUUUAAGCUUUAUAAAUUAGUUAAUAACAAACUAUGUUGCGUGGAUAUUCUGUAUUUUAAAUCUCAUUGAUGAAAAACUGAAGUUUUGUGCAUAGAGUAAGUUAUAUAUGAAGAUAUAAUGGAUAUAUAUAGAAGCAGCCUCUUGUGAUUGUCACCCUGCUGAGGGAACAGUGUAAUUAUCUGGAAGAAGUCCCGACAAAGAGACAGAGUAAAUGUGGUGCCAUGCGUUUGGACCUAAUUUGGAGCUUAGAAUAUGAAAUGGAGAUUUGAGAGUGAAGUAAUGCAAACGAAUGUGCUAGAUAGAACCACUUCAGUUCCUAUAUAUUAACUUCUGCUCCAUCCAAAUGUGGCAGAGAUAGAAAUAGAAUGCUUUUCCUUGUCUCGUUGCAAUGAGAGGCUCCUUUGGAAGAAAUAAUUGUUUUGGUGCAGCCUAGGUCUAUCUGACAUGCAGAGUACGGGUACCAAAUUUUGACCAAGCUUAGACCAAGUAUAAUAUAUAAUUUGUAUAAUUUGUUACCUUUCAAAAGUUAGCCACGUGAUCACGUGCCGAUCGCGGGGCUCAAAAAUCAAAGGCCAUGUGAUGAGGCUUCAAGUGUAAUUAAUGGCUUUUUAUAGUAUUAAUUAAUUGAGAGAUCAUUUACUUCC